rnacentral:rRNA from 1 species
GCAGCUUGCUGCUUCGCUGACGAGUGGCGGACGGGUGAGUAAUGUCUGGGAAGCUGCCUGAUGGAGGGGGAUAACUACUGGAAACGGUAGCUAAUACCGCAUAAUGUUGCAAGACCAAAGAGGGGGACCUUCGGGCCUCUUGCCAUCGGAUGUGCCCAGAUGGGAUUAGCUUGUUGGUGGGGUAACGGCUCACCAAGGCGACGAUCCCUAGCUGGUCUGAGAGGAUGACCAGCCACACUGGAACUGAGACACGGUCCAGACUCCUACGGGAGGCAGCAGUGGGGAAUAUUGCACAAUGGGCGCAAGCCUGAUGCAGCCAUGCCGCGUGUAUGAAGAAGGCCUUCGGGUUGUAAAGUACUUUCAGCGGGGAGGAAGGGAGUAAAGUUAAUACCUUUGCUCAUUGACGUUACCCGCAGAAGAAGCACCGGCUAACUCCGUGCCAGCAGCCGCGGUAAUACGGAGGGUGCAAGCGUUAAUCGGAAUUACUGGGCGUAAAGCGCACGCAGGCGGUUUGUUAAGUCAGAUGUGAAAUCCCCGGGCUCAACCUGGGAACUGCAUCUGAUACUGGCAAGCUUGAGUCUCGUAGAGGGGGGUAGAAUUCCAGGUGUAGCGGUGAAAUGCGUAGAGAUCUGGAGGAAUACCGGUGGCGAAGGCGGCCCCCUGGACGAAGACUGACGCUCAGGUGCGAAAGCGUGGGGAGCAAACAGGAUUAGAUACCCUGGUAGUCCACGCCGUAAACGAUGUCGACUUGGAGGUUGUGCCCUUGAGGCGUGGCUUCCGGAGCUAACGCGUUAAGUCGACCGCCUGGGGAGUACGGCCGCAAGGUUAAAACUCAAAUGAAUUGACGGGGGCCCGCACAAGCGGUGGAGCAUGUGGUUUAAUUCGAUGCAACGCGAAGAACCUUACCUGGUCUUGACAUCCACGGAAGUUUUCAGAGAUGAGAAUGUGCCUUCGGGAACCGUGAGACAGGUGCUGCAUGGCUGUCGUCAGCUCGUGUUGUGAAAUGUUGGGUUAAGUCCCGCAACGAGCGCAACCCUUAUCCUUUGUUGCCAGCGGUCCGGCCGGGAACUCAAAGGAGACUGCCAGUGAUAAACUGGAGGAAGGUGGGGAUGACGUCAAGUCAUCAUGGCCCUUACGACCAGGGCUACACACGUGCUACAAUGGCGCAUACAAAGAGAAGCGACCUCGCGAGAGCAAGCGGACCUCAUAAAGUGCGUCGUAGUCCGGAUUGGAGUCUGCAACUCGACUCCAUGAAGUCGGAAUCGCUAGUAAUCGUGGAUCAGAAUGCCACGGUGAAUACGUUCCCGGGCCUUGUACACACCGCCCGUCACACCAUGGGAGUGGGUUGCAAAAGAAGUAGGUAGCUUAACCUUCGGGAGGGCGCUUACCACUUUGUGAUUCAUGACUGGGGUGAAGUCGUAACAAGGUA